rnacentral:tRNA from 1 species
GCCUCCGUAGCUCAGGGGAUAGAGCAGCUGCCUUCUAAUCAGCUGGUCGCAGGUUCGAAUCCUGCCGGGGGCACCA